GAGUUUGAUCGUGGCUCAGGAUGAACGUUAGCGGCGUGCCUAACACAUGCAAGUCGAACGAACAGCCAGAAUCUUAAGAAUCUGGCGGGUUAGUGGCGCACGGGUGAGUAACACGUAGGUGACCUGCCCCGAAGUGGGGGACAACCACUGGAAACAGUGGCUAAUACCGCAUGUGCUUAGCCAUUCGGUUGGUUAAGUAAAGCUGAGGCGCUUCGGGAGGGGCCUGCGGUCGAUUAGCUAGUUGGUGAGGUAAUGGCUCACCAAGGCGAUGAUCGAUAGGGGGCGUGAGAGCGUGACCCCCCACACUGGGACUGAGACACGGCCCAGACUCCUACGGGAGGCAGCAGUGAGGAAUAUUGCACAAAUGGGCGCAAGCCUGAUGCAGCAA
rnacentral:rRNA from 1 species